rnacentral:rRNA from 1 species
GAUGAACGCUAGCGGCAGGCUUAAUACAUGCAAGUCGAGGGGCAGCACGGUUAGCAAUAACUGGUGGCGACCGGCGCACGGGUGCGUAACACGUAUACAAUCUACCUUAAACAGGGGGAUAGCCUUUCGAAAGAGAGAUUAAUACCCCGUAAUAAAUUGAACGGCAUCGUUUGAUUUUGAAAGCUCCGGCGGUUUGAGAUGAGUAUGCGUCUGAUUAGCUAGUUGGUGAGGUAACGGCUCACCAAGGCGACGAUCAGUAGGGGAUCUGAGAGGACUAACCCCCACACUGGUACUGAGACACGGACCAGACUCCUACGGGAGGCAGCAGUAAGGAUAUUGGUCAAUGGAGGCAACUCUGAACCAGCCAUGCCGCGUGCAGGAUGACGGCCCUAUGGGUUGUAAACUGCUUUUAUACAAGAGAAAACCCUGGUACGUGUACCAGGUUGAUAGUAUUGUAAGAAUAAGCAUCGGCUAACUUCGUGCCAGCAGCCGCGGUAA